UGGCCCCUCGUUCAAUGGCAGGACUCCGGUUUUUGGAUCCGGCAAUGGAGGUUCGACUCCUCCGGGGCCAA
rnacentral:tRNA from 1 species